GUAUUGGUUGUUCAGGGGUAGAUUCUCACCUUCCAGGCAGGAGAUCUGGGUUUGAUUCCCAGCCAAUACG
rnacentral:tRNA from 1 species